AGUGAACGCUGGCGGUAGGCCUAACACAUGCAAGUCGAACGGCAGCACAGUAAGAGCUUGCUCUUACGGGUGGCGAGUGGCGGACGGGUGAGGAAUACAUCGGAAUCUACUUUUUCGUGGGGGAUAACGUAGGGAAACUUACGCUAAUACCGCAUACGACCUACGGGUGAAAGCAGGGGAUCUUCGGACCUUGCGCGAUUGAAUGAGCCGAUGUCGGAUUAGUUGGUUGGCGGGGUAAAGGCCCACCAAGGCGAGGAUCCGUAGCUGGUCUGAGAGGAUGUUCAGCCACACUGGAACUGAGACACGGUCCAGGCUCCUACGGGAGGCAGCAGUGGGGAAUAUUGGACAAUGGGCGCAAGCCUGAUCCAGCCAUACCGCGUUGGUGAAGAAGGCCUUCGGGUUGUAAAGCCCUUUUGUUGGGAAAGAAAAGCAGCAGGUUAAUACCCCGCUGUUCUGACGGUACCCAAAGAAUAAGCACCGGCUAACUUCGU
rnacentral:rRNA from 1 species